ACUGGAAGCAUUUAAGUGAUAGU
rnacentral:miRNA from 1 species